ensembl:lncRNA
AGUCAUUUCAUGUUGGUAUUUAAGUAAGCAUCUUUAAGUACUUUGUUGAUACAUAGCACAAAAACAAUGUUAACACAGCCUGGUUCACUACUGGGUUUGUCUUUAGGCAAGGUCAGUGCCUGAAGUUGUAUAAUAGCAAACUUUUUGUUUACUGAUUAUUGGGAGUUGUUAAUAUUUUAUUCUUUUGCCAGAGCAUUGUUUUAUUCUGUGAAAUGUCUAUAUGUGAACAUUAUUUGCCUAAAUAUAUUUACAGUAAUAAAAUAAUAAUUUAAAAUACUUUUGUUCCAGUUGAGCUAAACUAGAGUUUGAUUUUUAUUAUUGAAGCAAAUCAGCAGUGAUUAGGCAGUGAGUUUUUAGGCAGUGUUCAGGCGGUAAGUAUUUAGGCAGUGUUCAGGCGGUAUGUAUUUAGGCAGUGUUCAGGCGGUGAGUAUUUAGGCAAUGUUUAGGCAGUGAAUUUUUAGGCAAUGUUCAGGUGGUGAGUAUUUAGGCAAUGUUUAGGCAGUGAGUUUUUAGGCAGUGUUCAGGUGGUGAGUAUUUAGACAGUGUUUAGGCAGUGAGUUUUUAGGCAGUGUUCAGGCAGUGAGUAUUUAGGCAGUGUUUAGGCAGUGAGUAUUUAGGCAGUGUUCAGGCAAUGAGUUUUUAGGCAGUGUUCAGGUGGUGAGUAUUUAGGCAGUGUUCAGGUGGUGAGUAUUUAGGCAGUGUUUAGGCAGUGUUUAGGCAGUGUUUAGGCAGUCAGUUUUUAGGCAGUGUUUUAGGCAGGGUUUAGGCAGUGUUCAGGUGGUGAGUAUUUAAGCAGUGUUUAGGCAGUCAGUUUUUAGGCAGUGUUUAGGCAGUGUUCAGGCAGUGAGUUUUUAGACAGUGUUCAGGUGGUGAGUUUUUAGGCAGUGUUUUUAGGCAGUUUUUUGGCAGUGUUUAGGCAGUGUUUAGGCAGUCCAUUUUUAGGCAGUGUUUAGGCAGUCAGUUUUUAGGCAGUGUUCAUGUAGUGAGUAUUUAGGCAGUGUUUAAGCAGUGAGUUUUUAGGCAGUGUUCAGGUGGUGAGUAUUUAGGCAAUGUUCAGGCAGUGAGUUUUUAGGCAGUGUUCAGGUGGUGAGUAUUUAGGCAGUGUUCAGGCAAUGGGUUUUUAGGCAGUGUUCAGGCAGUGAGUUUUUAGGCAGUGUUCAGGUGGUGAGUAUUUAGGCAUUGUUAAGGCAGUCAGUUUUUAGGCAGUGUUUAGGCAGUGUUCAGGCAGUGAGUAUUUAGGCAGUGUUUAAGCAUUGAGUUUUUAGGCAGUGUUCAGGUGGUGAGUAUUUAGGCAAUGUUCAGGCAGGGAGUUUUUAGGCAGUGUUCAGGUGGUGAGUAUUUAGGCAGUGUUUAGGCAGUGUUUAGGCAGUGUUUAGGCAGUGAGUUUUUAGGCAGUGUUCAGGUGGUGAGUUUUUAGGCAAUGUUUUUAGGCAGUGUUUUGGCAGUAUUUAGGCAGUGUUUAGGCAGUCAGUUUUUAGGCAGUGUUUUUAGGCAGUGUUUAGGUAGUGUUUAGGCAGUGUUUAGGCAGUGAGUUUUUAGACAGUGUUCAGGUGGUGAAUUUUUAGACAGUGUUUUUAGGCAGAGUUUUGGCAGUGUUUAGGCAGUCAAUUUUUAGGCAGUGUUUAGGCAGUCAGUUUUUUGACAGUGUUUUUAGGCAGUGAGUUUUUAGGCAGUGUUUAGGCAGUGUUUGUAGGCAGUGUUUACACUCUGAACCAUUGUGUUUCCUGUGUGUUCUAUCAAAACCUUUUGAUACAAAGCAGUUUUCUGGACAAAAUAAUUAUUUAUAAUUGUAUUCAAUUACAAAUCAUUACAUAAUAAUUUUAUUUAAAUUUAAGCAAAAAUGUGUUCACCCAAAUAAGACUGCAGGUCCUUUAUCCUAUUUUUUUUAUCUACUAGAAAUACAUGCAGUUUUAUUAUACACUGUAAAUUCCCACUAAUUUUUUUUUACCAACUAUUAAACUGUAUAUAUGAUAUACUUAUCAUAUAGGCUCAGUGGGAGGAAAAAAAAUCUAAGGCUGGCAUGGUGGAUCAGUGGAUAGUAUUGCAGCCUCACAGCUCUAGCAUCUGUGGUUUGAUCCCUAGCUCAGGUUUCUGUCUGUGUGGAGUUUUGUGUGUUCUACCCAUAUCUGUGUGUGUUUCUUCCAUGUUCUUUGGUUUCCUCCCACUUCCUGUGUGUGUGUGUAUGUAUGUGUGUGUGUGUGUGUGUGUGUGUGUGUGUGUGUGUGUGUGUGUGUUUGUGUGUAUGUUUGCAUGGUACCCUGCGAUGGACUGGCAUCCCAUCCAUGUCACCAUGCAUCCAGCAUUUUCUGGAUUGGCUUC